UAUCAUCCAUAUUUUAUUAUAGGGAAACAAACCUCAGUUCUGACUGCAGCUGUAGGAAUCAUAGUGGUUGUUCUGGUUCUCAUCCUCUGUCUCUCUGGACUCAUGUAGUUCAGGAAGAAUGCCUCCAAACCCACCAACACAAGAGACACAGCAGACGUUGGACAGGGAGACACUAGUCCAGUGUUUGACAACGUCUCAAACAUGGCCAUGAACUCUACUGCAGCACAG